rnacentral:tmRNA from 1 species
GGGGCUGACCUGGUUUCGACGGGAUCAAGUAGCUUUUAACUGCAUGUCGGACUGAGCAUUUCCGUUACACGGCUCAAAAUUGCUUAAACGCAAACAAUACAAAUUACCGCCCAGCUUACGCAGUAGCAUAAGUUUUACCCCCUCUUAGAGGACGGGCUGCUUCACCUAUGGACUCUAGAUAAAUAGGAUUCGAAGUAUAACCCUUAUGUAGAUAUACUUUACGUCCGCCUCGUACGUAGAAUGAACCCAAGAGGAUCGUCUUGUGUAGCUUUGCAAGUUGUGUGAAGCAAGAUUAAACUUUAACGGCUUUUCUAAGCAUGUAGACGUUAGGAGUAGCGUGGUUUCGGACUGGAGUUCGAUUCUCCACAGCUCCACCA